rnacentral:rRNA from 1 species
UACAGAGGUCUCAAGCGUUGUUCGGAUUCAUUGGGCGUAAAGGGUGCGUAGGCGGCGCGGUAAGUCGGGUGUGAAAUCUUGGAGCUUAACUCCGAAACUGCAUUCGAUACUGCCGUGCUUGAGGACUGGAGAGGAGACUGGAAUUUACGGUGGUAGCGGUGAAAUGCGUAGAUAAUCGUAAGGAAGACCAGUGGCGAAGGCGGGUCUCUGGACAGUUCCUGACGCUGAGGCACGAAGGCCAGGGGAGCAAACGGG